rnacentral:rRNA from 1 species
GAUGAACGCUGGCGGCGUGCCUAAUACAUGCAAGUCGAGCGAACAGACGAGGAGCUUGCUCCUCUGACGUUAGCGGCGGACGGGUGAGUAACACGUGGAUAACCUACCUAUAAGACUGGGAUAACUUCGGGAAACCGGAGCUAAUUCCGGCAUAUAUAUUAAACCGCAUGGUUCAAUAGUUAAAGACGGUUUUGCUGUCACUUAUAGAUUGAUCCGCGCCGCAUUAGCUAGUUGGUAAGGUAACGGCUUACCAAGGCAACGAUGCGUAGCCGACCUGAGAGGGUGAUCGGCCACACUGGAACUGAGACACGGUCCAGACUCCUACGGGAGGCAGCAGUAGGGAAUCUUCCGCAAUGGGCGAAAGCCUGACGGAGCAACGCCGCGUGAGUGAUGAAGGUCUUCGGAUCGUAAAACUCUGUUAUUAGGGAAGAACAAAUGUGUAAGUAACUAUGCACGUCUUGACGGUACCUAAUCAGAAAGCCACGGCUAACUACGUG